AGCACCUUUAAAUACAGUCCAGAGAGGCUGGCAAGGUGAACGAAUGAGAGUGACGGAUAGGGGUCUACACUACGAGUGUAUAAGGGGCUCAGUUUAGCCGUAUCCGAUACUCUCAGUAUGUCCGUGAACCUUGCCAUAAGUGCAAGGUUUUUUGUUU
rfam:Bacillus xerothermodurans strain ATCC 27380 scaffold_0, whole genome shotgun sequence.